AUUGAACGCUGGCGGCAUGCUUUACACAUGCAAGUCGAACGGCAGCGCGGUCUUCGGCCUGGCUGCGAGUGUCGCACGGGUGAGUAAUGCAUCGGAACGUGCCCAGCAGUGGGGGAUAGUCCGGUGAAAGCCGGAUUAAUAACGCCUACGACCUGCGGGUGAAACCGGGGGGCGGAAAGGCAUCGCCCUCUUGGAGCGGCCGAUGUCGGAUUAGCUAGUUGGUGGGGUAAAGGCUUACCUAGGCGACGAUCCGUAGCUGGUCUGAGAGGACGACCAGCCACACUGGGACUGAGACACGGCCCAGACUCCUACGGGAGGCAGCAGUGGGGAAUUUUGGACAAUGGGGGCAACCCUGAUCCAGCCAUGCCGCGUGCGGGAAGAAGGCCUUCGGGUUGUAAACCGCUUUUGUUCGGGAAGAAAUCCUCUGGGCUAAUACCCCGGGGGGAUGACGGUACCGGAAGAAUAAGCACCGGCUAACUACGUG
rnacentral:rRNA from 1 species